rnacentral:rRNA from 1 species
UACCCGCUGAACUUAAGCAUAUCAAUAAGCGGAGGAAAAGAAACCAACAGGGAUUGCCUCAGUAACGGCGAGUGAAGCGGCAACAGCUCAAAUUUGAAAUCUGGCUCCGGCCCGAGUUGUAAUUUGCAGAGGAAGCUUCUGGUGAUAUACUGUCUAAGUCCCCUGGAACGGGGCGCCACAGUGGGUGAGAGCCCCAUAUGACAGAUGUAGAUCCUGUGUGAAGCUCCUUCGACGAGUCGAGUAGUUUGGGAAUGCUGCUCUAAAUGGGAGGUAAAUUCCUUCUAAAGCUAAAUAUUGGCCAGAGACCGAUAGCGCACAAGUAGAGUGAUCGAAAGAUGAAAAGCACUUUGAAAAGAGGGUUAAACAGCACGUGAAAUUGUUGAAAGGGAAGCGCUUAUGACCAGACUUGCGCUGGGCUGAUCAUCCGGUGUUCUCACCGGUGCACUCGGCCCAGCUCAGGCCAGCAUCGGUUUUGGUGGGGGGAUAAAGGCAUUGGGAACGUAGCUCCUUCGGGAGUGUUAUAGCCCAGCGUGCAAUACCCCCGCUGGGACCGAGGUUCGCGCAUCUGCAAGGAUGCUGGCGUAAUGGUCAUCAGCGACCCGUCUUGAAACACGGACCAAGGAGUCAAGGUUUUGCGCGAGUGUUUGGGUGUCAAACCCCGCACGCGUAAUGAAAGUGAACGUAGGUGAGAGCUUCGGCGCAUCAUCGACCGAUCCUGAUGUAUUCGGAUGGAUUUGAGUAGGAGCGUUAAGCCUUGGACCCGAAAGAUGGUGAACUAUGCUUGGAUAGGGUGAAGCCAGAGGAAACUCUGGUGGAGGCUCGCAGCGGUUCUGACGUGCAAAUCGAUCGUCAAAUCUGAGCAUGGGGGCGAAAGACUAAUCGAACCAUCUAGUAGCUGGUUACCGCCGAAGUUUCCCUCAGGAUAGCAGUGUUGUUCUUCAGUUUUAUGAGGUAAAGCGAAUGAUUAGGGACUCGGGGGCGCUUUAUAGCCUUCAUCCAUUCUCAAACUUUAAAAAUGUAAGAAGCUCUUGUUACUUCAAUUGAACGUGAGCAUUCGAAUGUACC